GCUGUAGGUGUCAUGUUGAUUUCAAUUAAUUAUGAAAAACUAUCACAAGAUUGUGCAGUGUUAAAAUUUAACAAACAUUGAAAUUAAGGACAAGUAUUUAUAGUUCCUACGUUCACUGGUCCAAAUUUUCGUUUCCCGGUGGCUUAUAGUAAUAUCGAAAGAAGAAUUGAGCAAAAUAGAAUUGAGAGGUGGAGUACUCGUUUUAUUAUGUCUCAUGUCAAUAACUCGGCGGCCCAGGUAAUUAGCACCACGUAAUUGCAAAUUUAUAUUUAUUUUAUUUAGGAGCAUAGUAGGACCAUUGUAUAGCAUUGUAAUAGGCAUAAAAAUGUUUGUAGGUCCUUCUUUGAUUUUUUAUUAGUUAAUCAAAAUAAUCACCGAAAGUUAUUACCUCACUUUCC